GAAAUGCGAUAAGUAAUGUGAAUUGCAGAAUUCAGUGAAUCAUCGAAUCUUUGAACGCACAUUGCGCCCGCCAGCACUCUGGCGGGCAUGCCUGUUCGAGCGUCAUUUCAACCCUCAGAACCCCUUGCGGGAUCUGGCGUUGGGGAUUGGCAUCCAGCCAGCCCCGAAAUCUAGUGGCGGUCCCUCCGCGACCUCCCCUGUGCAGUAGCGAUACCUCGCAGCGGGACAGCGGUCUGACCACGCCAUAAAACCCCCAACUUCUCAAGGUUGACCUCGAAUCAGGUAGGAAUACCCACUGAACUUAAGC
rnacentral:misc_RNA from 1 species